GUGAGAGGAGCGCAGCAUCGCUUGGAGUAGCAGGAUCUCUCAGGAUCUCUCAGGAUCUCUCAGGAUCUCUCAGGAUCUCUCAGGAUCUCACAGGAUCUCUCAGGAUCUCUCAGAAUCUCACAGGAUCUCUUACUUUGGCGAUCCCUACAUGGAGCGACCACUUGUUUUCUGUUGACAGCUACAGACAUCAAUAAAAGAUUUGAGGAAUAAACCGGAAUACAUCCAGGGAAAAGGAGAGGAAUUCAUCCUUCUCUGGUAAGUAACAAACACUUUUUAUUUGAUGAAUUAUCCGUUCCCAUCCGCUGCUCUCUUGACAUUUAAAACCCCCGCCAUCAUUUUCCAAAACAGUGUCAAUGUUUCCACCUCCGGGC
ensembl:lncRNA